rnacentral:rRNA from 1 species
AUGUUGCGCGGUAAUCAUGGUGGCCAUGCAUGGGCUCCCGCUCCACUCCCGGCGCCAACUUUAAGCCGUUGCUCACUCCGCCCAACUCAACGGUCACCACGCUGUCCCGCGCGCUCGGUAUUUAAGCCUCACCGCGCGGCACACACAUCACCAAGAACAAACAAACAACGUUGCAACACCAGCAAGUACGUACGCGACAGACAGCUCCAGCUCUGCUCGGUGCAAGUGCAAUGGCGUCGAGCCCCAGCUCCAGCUCCAGCCUGCUCCUUCCCCAACCUGCUGCUGUGGCUCCUCAACCUCUCCCUGCUCGCCCUCGCCGCCGCCGCGCUCGGCCCGGCGCUGCUGCUCCGGCCCCGCCCCACGCCCUUCGGCUGGGCGCUCGUCUCCGUGCACGCCGCCACGCUGCUCUCCGCGCUCGCGUCCAUGUACACCCACCUCGCCCGCCGUCGCCUCUGCUGCCACGCCCACGCGGCCCUCGCGGUCGCCGCGCUCGCCUCCUACGCGCUGCUCCUCCGCCGCGACCGCAGCCUCGCGCUGCUCGGGUCGGCGCGGGACCGGAGGGAGCAGGUCGCGCUGGUGCUCCUGGAGGGGGCGCUGCUGCUGGCCAUGUUCCUGGUGCAGGCCGUGGAGCUGGCGGUUGCCUGCGCCGUGGGCCGGCGGUGGGCGAGGGAGCACGAGGCGGCCGAGGCCGAGAAGGCGAGGAAGCGCGGGAGGAAGAUGGCGCGCGUGCAGCAGGCAGAGUCGGCGGAGGCCGGCGUGGGGGCAGUGGAGGAGGAGAAGGGGACGAGCGGCAAGGUGGCGCUCCGGGGAAACGCCAACGAGUGCUGA